CGUAGGUGGCGAGCGUUGUCCGGAAUUAUUGGGCGUAAAGGGCGUGUAGGUGGAUGUUUAAGUCGUGUGUCUAAGUGCGGGGCUCAACCCCGUAUAGGCGCAGGAAACUGGAGAUCUUGAGUACAGGAGAGGAAAGUGGAAUUCCCAGUGUAGCGGUGGAAUGCGUAGAUAUUGGGAGGAACACCAGUGGCGAAGGCGACUUUCUGGACUGUGUCUGACACUGAGGCGCGAAAGCCAGGGGAGCGAACGG
rnacentral:rRNA from 1 species